rnacentral:tRNA from 1 species
GAUUCCUUAGCUCAGCAAUGAGAGCAUCACUUUGACAGGGUGGAGGUCGCUAGUUCGAGCCCAGUCGGAAUAAUCA